UGCAGCCUGGAGGGCGCACUUCUGCAUGUCGGAUAUUUUUGGAUGGUGCAUUGUCACCCCCACGACACUGCGUCGCUGUUCUACAUUGUAACUUCAGCUUCGCCUGUGCUUUGCCUCAUGCUAUGCACUGCUAGCAAAAGCAACUAUUCGCCACCAUCAUCAACGAGAAAAGAAAAUGGAGGUCAUACCUUUGCACUGAGCCCGAAAGCUAUUAAUGCUAACAAAUCAGUAUCUUAAAUCGAAGAGUUCCAGUCAUCAUCUUCAUAGCAAACAGGACGGCAGUAGCUCUAGCAGCAAAUCAACCAUCCACU